rnacentral:rRNA from 1 species
UACGAAGGGGGGCUAGCGUUGCUCGGAAUCACUGGGCGUAAAGCGCACGUAGGCGGCUUUCUAAGUCAGGGGUGAAAUCCUGGAGCUCAACUCCAGAACUGCCUUUGAUACUGGAGAGCUUGAGUCCGGGAGAGGUGAGUGGAACUCCGAGUGUAGAGGUGAAAUUCGUAGAUAUUAGGAAGAACACCAGUGGCGAAGGCGGCGACCUGGGUCGAUGACUGUACGCUGAUGCCGUGCGAAAGCGUGGGGAAGCAA